GGAGCUGUGGCUCAGUGGCAGAGCAUCUGCCUUGUAUGCAGAAGGUCCUAGGUUCAAUCCUCAGCAUCUCCA